CAUGCAAGUCGAACGAGACCUUCGGGUCUAGUGGCGCACGGGUGCGUAACGCGUGGGAACCUGCCUUUAGGUUCGGAAUAACUCCCCGAAAGGGGUGCUAAUACCGGAUAAUGUCUUCGGACCAAAGAUUUAUCGCCUUUAGAUGGGCCCGCGUUGGAUUAGCUAGUUGGUGGGGUAAAGGCUCACCAAGGCGACGAUCCAUAGCUGGUCUGAGAGGAUGAUCAGCCACACUGGGACUGAGACACGGCCCAGACUCCUACGGGAGGCAGCAGUGGGGAAUAUUGGACAAUGGGCGAAAGCCUGAUCCAGCAAUGCCGCGUGAGUGAUGAAGGCCUUAGGGUUGUAAAGCUCUUUUACCAGGGAUGAUAAUGACAGUACCUGGAGAAUAAGCUCCGGCUAACUCCGUGCCAGCAGCCGCGGUAAUACGGAGGGAGCUAGCGUUGUUCGGAAUUACUGGGCGUAAAGCGCGCGUAGGCGGCUUAUCAAGUCAGGGGUGAAAUCCCGGGGCUCAACCCCGGAACUGCCCUUGAAACUGGUUGGCU
rnacentral:rRNA from 1 species